AAAUAAAAUAACAUGAACCAUUUUCCGCAAAUUUCAACCGGUAGCCUCUUCCUUAUCUUGACCUAAGCACUCGACGAAAAAGCUUCCACCUGAAGCAAAAUCGGUCGACGCACUCAUCGUCACCGCCAACGACACCGACAAAGUUACCAUGAAUGUUGGUAUCUGUUGAUGCUGUGAAGAAAUAUGUGAAUGAUAGAGAUGGUCACUAUGCUUUUGCCAUUGGUGAGAAUUUGACUUCUUGUUGGAGUGAUUAAGUUUCCAAUACAGACAAAUGAAAAAACAAGGCCUACUGCAUAGCAUACUGAAACUGAUUUUGGUCUAGAGUUUCAAAAUUAUGAGUUUGUCGUUUAAGAUCGAUUCACAUUGUCUCAAUUGCAGUCAUCUACUAGAAUGAAAUGAAGAAAUUUGAGAGUUUGUCAUGGUUGCAAAAGCAACACGCACUACUUUGGACAAUGCCAAUCAAAACUCUGAUGCCUUAGUUGUGAGUGCAAAUAUCAAAAAUAUUUUGAGGUUGAACGGGAUCCAAUAACAAAGGCAAUUGUUCUUCACUGUAUUAAUAAUUGUGGAUACUUCGAUUGGGCGAAAAAUGAAGUUUUAGACGAGGAAUCGAAUUCCGUUAAUCAUACAUUGAAUCAUGUACCCAAUGAGAAAGACGUAGAGUUGCCAAUACUGUUUGACGAGUUAGCAAGAAUUAGUGAGAAAUAAGGUGUUGGCAUAUCAGUGCACAUAACUCUUAGCAAGGAAAAAAGAAUUGUCAAAUGUGAUGGGAAAGGAAAGGGAUCGAAUUGAAGGAGUGAUCUAAGUUAUAUAUGUGAAUUUCAAUUUGUAUAAUGAUAUGUUGCUUUUAUUCCACUAUAAAGGAUAUGCCUUCAGUUGUGAACCCACCCAAACCUUUUGUUUAGCUAUUUAUGUGGUUGUAGUGAGACCCCCAUUUUUUAUGGACUUUGGAUAAUACUGAUGACCAGGUUUGUUAUGAUUAUUGGAAAUGCUUUAAUGAUUAAGUUAAUUGCCUUCGUAA